rnacentral:lncRNA from 1 species
CAAUGCUGAAGGAUUGAGAACCAACUUACUUUUUUUUUUUUUGAACGUGGGACACCAGUAAUGCAAUUUUUCCUUUAGAAAAUUCUAUGACAUAUUCCCAUUCUUUUUCUUUUCCUUUUCUGGGGAUGUGAGUUGUAUAGCUUUGCAAUGGAUUUUGAUAUGCAAUGUAUUGUUGACAUUGUAUCUUGCUUGUCAAUGAUUGGCUUCGUAGUCUAACAAAGGUGACUUUAUAAUAUUUGAUAUGUGCAGUAAUAGAUAUGGUGCAAAUCGCAGUAGAAGCCCCAAUAGAAAUUUAGUUUAACAGAAUAUGCUGAUGGAACUUGUUCUAAUUUGGAAGAGUAAGAGGAUGAAGCACCAUUUGUGCUGAAGGCCGUAUGAUCUUUCUAGAUAAAAAAUUGCGUGUUUCAGGCCGUGAACAUGGACUGAUUAUUGAUAAAUUUUAGUCUUCUGACGCUGCAUUUUUUCCUCUGUUGUAUUCUUUGUCCUUGGAACCUAUUUGAAUAGUGCUUUAUCUACUACCGGGGAAUUUAUACUUGUGCUAGUAAAAUUAGGACUUCUUGUUUGACAUUGUUACAUGUGGACAACAAAGCAAGCUUCCAAUUCAAACCCGUUU